GGAAGUGUGGCCGAGCGGUUGAAGGCACCGGUCUUGAAAACCGGCAAGGGUUCAUACCCUUCGUGGGUUCGAAUCCCACCGCUUCCG
rnacentral:tRNA from 1 species